UCCUAGUUAUAAAUUAAAUUAGAUUUACCAGAGUACUAUGAAUACUAUAAAAUUUAAAACUCAAAGGACUUGGCGGUGUUUUAGACCACUCAGGGGAACCUGUCCCGUAAUCGAUAAUCCACGUUAUACCUGACCUCUUUUUGCUUUCAGCUUGUAUACCGUUGUCGUCAGGUAACUUUUUAGAAUCUAGAAGUUAGCUAAAAAUAAUGAAUUUAAACGUCAAAUCAAGGUGCAGUUAACAAGGAGGCGAGGAUGGGUUACAAUUAUUUAAUUGUAAUUACGAAGAAUUAUAGGAAUAGAUAAUUAAGAAGGAGGACUUGAAAGUAAAUUAGACUAUAAAAAUAAUUUGAAUUAGGCUCUGAAAUGCGCACACAUCGCCCGUCGCUCUUGUUGGAAAAUAAGAUAAGUCGUAACAUAGUAGGGGUAAUGGAAAUUGUUCCUAAACU
rnacentral:rRNA from 1 species